rnacentral:rRNA from 1 species
UACAGAGGUCCCGAGCGUUGUUCGGAUUCACUGGGCGUAAAGGGUGCGUAGGUGGCGUCGUAAGUCAGGUGUGAAAUCUCGGGGCUCAACCCCGAAACUGCACUUGAUACUGCGAUGCUCGAGUACUGGAGAGGAGAUUGGAAUUUACGGUGUAGCAGUGAAAUGCGUAGAUAUCGUAAGGAAGACCAGUGGCGAAGGCGAAUCUCUGGACAGUUACUGACACUGAGGCACGAAGGCCAGGGGAGCAAACGGG